rnacentral:rRNA from 1 species
UACGAAGGGGGCUAGCGUUGCUCGGAAUCAUUGGGCGUAAAGCGCGCGUAGGCGGCCAGAUAAGUCCGGUGUGAAAGUCAAAGGCUCAACCUUUGAAUGCCGCUGGAAACUGUCUGGCUAGAGUCCGGGAGGGGCGAGUGGAAUUCCUGGUGUAGCGGUGAAAUGCGUAGAUAUCAUCUGGAACGCCAAUGGUGCAGACAGGCUGCUGGGAAUGAACUGACGCUGAGGCACGAAAGCUAGGGGAGCGAACGGG